AGCGAACGCUGGCGGCAGGCCUAACACAUGCAAGUCGAACGAACUCUUCGGAGUUAGUGGCGGACGGGUGAGUAACACGUGGGAACGUGCCUUUAGGUUCGGAAUAACUCAGGGAAACUUGAGCUAAUACCGGAUGUGCCCUUCGGGGGAGAGAUUUAUCGCCUUUAGAGCGGCCCGCGUCUGAUUAGCUAGUUGGUGAGGUAAAGGCUCACCAAGGCGACGAUCAGUAGCUGGUCUGAGAGGAUGAUCAGCCACAUUGGGACUGAGACACGGCCCAAACUCCUACGGGAGGCAGCAGUGGGGAAUCUUGCGCAAUGGGCGAAAGCCUGACGCAGCCAUGCCGCGUGAAUGAUGAAGGUCUUAGGAUUGUAAAAUUCUUUCACCGGGGACGAUAAUGACGGUACCCGGAGAAGAAGCCCCGGCUAACUUCGUG
rnacentral:rRNA from 1 species